AUGCGCGCUGAAGUUACAGCGCUAGCCGAGGAGUGGGGUCUGAGCGCUGAUCCUGCGCGUGAUUCCAGCGCCUCUUUGUUAUUGGCUGCUUCGGGGCGCGGUGCUCGGGCGCGGACGCCCUGGAUUGGUGUUUGGGAGCAGAGGGGUGGGACUCCAGAUGCUGCCGCGGGAGGUCCGGACACUGGCGGCCAUAGGACUCGCCGGUAUUUAAUGACAUCUUAAAGGGGUUGCUGUAAAGGACUAAUGCCUAAACUGUCUCAGCAUGGCCUAUCGAGGAGGAGGUGGGCGCCGCCGCCGUGGUCCCUCAGUGGUGUUCUACCCUGUUAGCCCUGGACGUCUUUUCACAUGUAGAACUCCUACUCAUAACAUAUGCAUGGUGUCGGACUUUUUCUACCCGAAUAUGGGAGGCGUGGAAAGCCACAUUUACCAGCUCUCUCAGUGCCUGAUUGAAAGAGGACACAAAGUCAUAAUUGUCACCCAUGCUUACGGAAAUCGAAAAGGCAUCCGUUACCUCACUAAAGGCCUCAAAGUCUAUUACUUGCCUCUGAAAGUUAUGUACAACCAGUCUACAGCCACAACCCUCUUUCACAGUCUGCCUUUGCUCAGGUACAUAUUUGUUCGAGAGAGAGUCACCAUAAUCCACUCACAUAGUUCCUUUUCUGCUAUGGCCCAUGACGCCCUCUUCCACGCCAAGACAAUGGGGCUCCGUACAGUCUUCACGGACCAUUCCCUUUUUGGAUUUGCUGAUGUCAGCUCGGUGCUUACAAACAAGCUUCUAACUGUCUCUCUUUGUGACACAAACCACAUAAUUUGUGUCUCUUACACUAGUAAGGAGAACACUGUGCUAAGAGCAGCACUGAAUCCUGAAAUAGUGUCCGUCAUUCCUAAUGCUGUAGAUCCUACUGACUUCACUCCAGACCCAUUUAGAAGGCAUGAUAGCAUAACUAUUGUUAUUGUCAGCAGACUUGUUUACAGAAAAGGUACUGAUUUGCUUAGUGGUAUAAUACCUGAACUCUGUCAGAAAUAUCAAGAUUUAAAUUUCAUAAUUGGAGGAGAGGGACCAAAGAGAAUAAUUUUGGAAGAAGUACGGGAAAGAUACCAGCUACAUGACAGAGUGCGUCUCUUGGGAGCCUUAGAACACAAGGAUGUUAGAAAUGUCUUAGUUCAAGGACAUAUUUUUCUUAAUACUUCCCUUACUGAAGCAUUCUGCAUGGCCAUUGUGGAAGCAGCCAGUUGUGGUUUACAGGUCGUAAGUACCAGGGUUGGUGGAAUUCCCGAAGUACUUCCAGAAAAUCUUAUUAUCCUUUGUGAGCCUUCUGUAAAAUCCUUGUGUGAAGGAUUGGAAAAAGCUAUUUCCCAACUGAAGUCCGGAGUAUUGCCAGCUCCAGAAAAAGUCCAUAACAUAGUAAAGACUUUCUACACCUGGAGGAAUGUUGCGGAACGAACAGAAAAAGUAUGUCACCUGCCCAGAAAAGGGUAUUUGAAGAUUGUGUCUGAAUUCCUGAGGUUUCAUGUACACGCUGGCUUUGUCUUGUACAGGUUUACCAUUUCUGUUCUAUUGCUUACGUUUAUGAAGUCUCUCCCAAAUGAAAAGAAGUGAACUGUGUACUUUUGGUAUAUUUAUGUUUCUCGUCAAAUUAUUGCAUUUGACAUCUGAAAGUAGCAGUAAUGCCAUCUACACGUAAUUGUCUGGAAGUCACAGCCAUUACAGUCAGAAGUAAUAUUAAAAUAAUAUUAAAAUCUAUAAGAUGUUUUCUUGACGCUGUUUAGAAUGCUAAAGUAUUCUAAAUAUAUGGUUUUACUUAGUCUGGUUGCAGCAACUCUAUAACUUGCAAAUAUUUAAUUCAGGCUAUUUCCUAAAACACUUGUGUCGCUUUUGCUAACUACUGUAAUUUUCUACAGGAAAAGGAUUUUUUCAGCUUUAGGCUGAUUGAGAACAUAAUAAGUUGGAAUUCAAAAUGCACAUGACACAUGUCAGGAGUAUGAUCGCACAGAAAAAAGCAGUAAUAGAGAAUUUCCAGGAUAGGUACAUGAUAUAGAUCAGUGGUCGGCAAACUGGCCCCUUGAGUGUGGCUCUUCCACAAAAUACCACAUGCGGGCAUGCACGUACAGUGCGAUUGAAACUUCAUGGCCCGUGCCACGGGGCCGAAGAGCUGCAUGUUGUCUCGUGAGCCGCGGUUUGCCGACCACUGAUAUAGAUUCAUACCCUCAGGUGGGACAGUGUGACUGGAAAAUGCUUCCUUGUUUCAAGUUAGGGGCUUCAUUUAUUCCGCUGGGUUUUGUCCUUUGUUUACUCUCAUUACUUCGUCUGCUUCAUGCCUCUUAUUACCAGGUAACACACUGGGGGAAACACUCUGCUUGUCAGUAUAGAGAAAUUGUGAACCAGGAGCUCAGUCAGUUGGGAGCAUGGAGGAGAUAGUAGUUUAGACGAGUGCUUUAUGGUCUCAUUGUACUCAGUGAAGCAGCUAGUUGCUAGCCAGAAUAGAGAGCAAGAUGGAGCCUCGGAGUGGAUAGAAUAGCUCUUGACUGUAAGCCUCUCUUACCUGGUUUAAUUUAUAAAUUCCCGUACAUAAGAUGAACUCAUAUUUGAAUAUAAGUGCAGGAGAACUCUUUUAUCUCUAAAAAUUGUCGUAUACAUUUCCCAUUGAAGUGUGAGAUAUUUGAGUUAAUAGUUUUUAAAAAAUACAUAUUUUUAUUGAUUUCGGAGAGGAGAGAGAGAUAGAAACAUCAGUAGUGAGAGAGAAUCAUCAGUUGGCUGCCUCCUGUACACCCUUUAUUGGGGAUCGAGCCGGAAACCUGGGCAUGUGCCCCGACCUGGAAUCAAAUCUUGACCUCCUGGUUCAUGGGUCGACACUCAACCAAUGAGCCACGCCAGCUGGUCUGAGUUAACAGUUUUGACUGAAAUGUCUCUGAGACACACUCACCUUCUAGGAGUUUUUCAAUAUCUCUACCCAUCUAUAAUAAUAAAAGGGUAAUAUGCUAAUUAGACCAGAAGUCUUCUGGAUAUCAUUCCAGACGUCCUCCCUGAUGAAGCUGGGGUCAGAGGAAAGCCAGCGCGGGUCCCAGGUGCCUGCCAGUGGCCUGGGGGAAGCCAGCCUGGUUCCCGGGUGCCUGCUGGUGGCCAGAGGAGGGAAGCCUGGAUCCCGGGUGCCGGAGGGAAGCCAGUGUCAGCAGUCUGGGGAAGGAAGGACUACUCUUGCAUGAAUUUUCGUGUAUCGGGCCUCUAGCAUGAAAUAACUGCCUUUUUCCUUUAGAGGUUGGAGUGUAGCACUGAUUACCUGCCAGGAAUACAUGUCAGAAUCACCUAGGAAGCCUUUUCAGGAGCUGUUCUUUCCAUCUUCCUGCCCGCCGCCCCCCCCCCCCCCCCCCCCCCGCCGCCUACUCCCAUCCCAGCCACUCCCUUGAUUCUAAUAUGACCCUUUAAGAGCACAAGUGGAAUUUGGGAUUGGCUGGCAGGGAUAUUUGGUUAGACAGUUGUUUUUUUCAGUGAUACUCUACUCUGCUUGGUAACCAUGGCUCCGUAAGUUGUGACUUCACUUCUUGAUCACAUCAUGUAAACCUCGGAAGUCUGAGCUACUGUAGAUAUUAAGUUCGGGGCAAAGAUCUCUGGUGACAAUAUGUCAGCAUAUAUUAAAGAAGCUAAUUAGUAUUAUUUUUAACCACAUUUUUAGUUUCGCUUAAAGUAAUAGUGAAACAUUUGUAUUUUCUCUGCUUUAUACUCUGAUGAUUUAUAGUAUUAAUUCAGAAAACAAAGUCCUCUAUAAUGGAUUAACCUAUUGUUCUCUUCACUGUAGUAAAUUACUUUGUAGCUUAAGAUCAUAAAUUAAUUGACCUAGAAAUAAAGGUGGACACACUGGUCAGUUUGUAGUUGCUCUUUUAAUUCUACCUGUCCCGCACAGGACAUUUGUUCCCUUUCAACUCCUCCUUCCUAGUUUAACUGCUCUUUAGAAAACUGAACAAUUGUGAUUCACCAUUCUCAGUAUAAUUUGCAACAAAAUUCUGAUUCAAAGGUAUUCUAAAUAUCCUUGGGGUAGAAGAGCUAGAUGAAACAUUCCGUAUCUUUCAAAGGCCAUUGGCCUACAGAACUUGUACUGCACAUCAUAACUUUCUUGCGCUCAAAAGGAGAUUCAUUACAGAUCUCAUUGAUACAUGAGAAGGAGCACAGCUAGUGCUCAAAUAUGAUUAAAAUUAACGCUGGCCCAUUUGAUGUGUUCAAAUAAAUAUGUUUAAAGAUCUUUGUGUGUUUUUUAAAAAUAUUGCCAAGUUUAGUGCUUAAUGAUUUAAAAAGCAAGUCACCUACUGUCAGUUCUCAGCAAUAAACUUUGUUUUCUUUGCCAGUGUUUAUACCAAGGGAGGGGGGCGGAAAUCUGGCCCACCGGCCCGUAUAAAGCCUGAGAAAUCAUUUGGUUUGGCUCUGCCAAGGCAACUGCAGGUGGGACUCGAAAUUCAGUAAAUCUAGGCGCUUUUUUCAUAGCAACAUAAAUUUAUAUUAAGUGAGUUAAAUUAAACGAAUGAUGUUAUAAAUAUUUAAAUGGCUCUUGACAGAAAAAAGGUUCCCCACCCCUGACCUCUACCAUCUACUAAGAUUUCCCCCCAUCUCUUUUCCCCUUCUGUUAUUUGGAAUCCAUGAAAUGUUUCUGUAUAUUCUCAUCAUCUGUGCUCAGCAGCAGGCCUCAUGUAGCUGUUGAAAGAAGAGCCACUCUGUACCCAGGAAGAAGCACACUAGAUUGUCACUCUCUGAUUGUGGUUGGUGUCUACCAGAUAGUGGAAAGGGCUUCUCAGCCAAGCCAAGGAAUCUUAGAAGGCCAGCCCCGCUUCAGGGAGUCACUGCUGAAUUAAAUAUGGCCUCCACAGAGGUGACCUGAAGAGGAGUUUCAAAUUCUCCGGACUUCAGAAUUCUCAUAGUUGAGUUAAAAUUGAUGGUGAUGCCCUGGGAGACAGGAGUUGUGGCAUAUUUGUCUUUAUAUCACAGCAUCUAGCCUGGUGUUUUUUCCAGAAUAAGCACUCCAUGAAUGUUGAAUUAAAAGGCAAUACAUUACUAUAAUGAAUUUCAUUAACCACAUCAUUUCUAUAACAACAGCAGCGAAAUGUGUACAAUCGUGUGGCAGGAGAAACUGUGUUACCAAUGGACAAACGACUGGAAAGACUCAUGUCUCACUGUGGCCCAGUAACAGGCUGCAUUUUUGCUUUGUUGGCCG